AGACAGCUAGCGGUGGGCGUCUGAUCCCACGCGUGGCUCAUCUCACGGGAAAACAGAGGAUGGGGGUCAAAGGAAAAGCGGGAGGGGGCGACUUCGUUCUCUCCUUCUCCUCGAUGCUUGCCCACUACACCAGAUCGAAGGGGAGAGGGAAGAGAGUUACGCCUCCCACCAGACAGACUGGCGGCGGUGGCGGCCGAUCCACCGCGAGGCCGUCCCCUCCUGACGGCGCGCUUCACCAGACAGGGAGGCAGGGGAGUCUGAACCCUCGCGCCACCUCCCUGCCGCCCCUGGUCGACGACCGCCGCUGAUCUUCUCCAACUCCGACGACCGCCGUUGAUCUUCUCCAACCCCAACGACCGCUGCGACCUCUCCUCGAUACCAACAUCGGGGCCCUUCACCAAGUUCUUCACCACGCUGAUCUUCCCCAAGGAUCCUCUACUGCUUCUCUUCUUCAAGGAUUACGCAGAAGACCUCAAGCUUUUCCUGCUACGGAUCAUCUCCAACUCGUUCCUGCUGCUCUUCUUUGCCUGCAACAUCUACAGCUUAGGAGACAACUCUGAAUCUCUCUUUUCUUACUGUAGUUCUCUGAACUUUGUCCUGAUUGCUAUGCAGUUUGUAGUCUGAAUCUCAGUUAACUGUUGAUGUACCCAUGAGAAAACUAGGUAGUUCAACUUGUGAUAUUGAUCUGCUAUAUGUGAUGUUUGUGGCAGUUCCCUCAUCUACUUUAUGCUACUGUUUGUUGGCUGUUUAGAUUACACACAAAACCACCAUUAAAAGACAUUCUCUC
rnacentral:rRNA from 1 species